UUUUUUUUUUUUUUUUCAUUUAGUUUUUUAUAUAAUAGUUCAAUAGGGCGUGUCAAAAAACUAAAUCACAGUUCAGCUGCUGAGAAAACGUUAAAAUGAAAGAAAAUUUUGGGAUAUUUGAUAGCUCAUGCUUCGUUAUUUGUCUUUUUUAAAGUGUUCCAUUUGUCAUGCACGCUUGGGGUAUUUGAUUAUUUUUACUUUUUCUUUCGCCAAAAGAAAUGAAAAAAUUUUAAAAUUAAGCAAUUGUUUUGUUAAUUUAUGAAUUCUCUUGCGAACUAAAUGGAGCAGAAACUUUUUUGCACUCUUUCCGCAAAUUCUUUGUUACUGUAGAGCUUGUUUUCUGUACGACUGCCACUUUUCCUAAUCUUGGGUCUCUGAGAAGAGUGGAAAUACUUACUGGGGGAAAUAUAUAUGAACUGUCAGCUACAGUAUUUACUUGGCAUUUAUAGUGGGUUGCUGGGUUAUUAGGUGGGAGACGUGUUCAUGCUUGUGUGAUGGGCUCAUAUUGCUAUGACUACUAAUGGGUUGGCGGUUUUAGUCUAUUGCUAUUUUGGGUGAGACAUUUAAGAGGUAUUCAACAAUUAGAAUUGGAGUUCCUAAUUGUGUGUUGGAGAGGAUAGAUCUUGAGCAUAAACCGGAUGAGAUGGUUGCUGUGUUGCAUUUCUUAUUGGAUAUGGCAGCAAUAAACUUGGAGUUGGAGAUGCUUUUACUCUCUCUUGUAUAGUGGGAGGUUUCAAAUACCUAAGUAGAUGAUUAUGGAAUUCCCUCAAUUGGAGACAAA
rnacentral:misc_RNA from 1 species